AUUGAACGCUGGCGGAAUGCUUUACACAUGCAAGUCGAACGGCAGCGACGGGGGCAACCCUGGUGGCGAGUGGCGAACGGGUGAGUAAUACAUCGGAACGUGCCCAGUCGUGGGGGAUAACGUAGCGAAAGCUACGCUAAUACCGCAUACGAUCUCUGGAUGAAAGCGGGGACCGCAAGGCCUCGCGCGAUUGGAGCGGCCGAUGGCAGAUUAGGUAGUUGGUGGGGUAAAGGCUCACCAAGCCGACGAUCUGUAGCUGGUCUGAGAGGACGACCAGCCACACUGGGACUGAGACACGGCCCAGACUCCUACGGGAGGCAGCAGUGGGGAAUUUUGGACAAUGGGCGAAAGCCUGAUCCAGCCAUUCCGCGUGCAGGAUGAAGGCCCUCGGGUUGUAAACUGCUUUUGUACGGAACGAAACGGUCCUGGUUAAUACCUGGGGCUAAUGACGGUACCGUAAGAAUAAGCACCGGCUAACUACGUGCCAGCAGCCGCGGUAAU
rnacentral:rRNA from 1 species